rnacentral:sRNA from 1 species
CCGUACACGGAUGUACGGGAAACUUGCAAGUAUAUGAGUUUCAGCGCCGCUGAAACUCGGGUUGAAAACUGUGCAGGACGCACGGUUUUCAUACAAAC